rnacentral:rRNA from 1 species
ACCAUUGGAAACGAUGGCUAAUACCCCGGAUGUCCCUACUGUUAGAGAGUAGUGACUAAAGCUCCGGCGCUCUGGGAGGGGCCUGCGGCCCAUCAGCUAGUUGGCAGGGUAACGGCCUACCAAGGCGAAGACGGGUAGGGGACGUGAGAGCGUGACCCCCCACACUGGUACUGACACACGGACCAGAUACCUACGGGUAGCAGCAGCAAGGAAUAUUGCCCAAUGGACGAAAGUCUGAGGCAGCAACGCCGCGUGGAGGAUGAAGGCUUUCGGGUUGUAAACUCCUUUUCUGGGGGAAGAGAAAGGACGGUACCCCAGGAAUAAGUCUCGGCUAACUACGUGCCAGCAGCCGCGGUAAAACGUAGGAGGCGAGCGUUAUCCGGAUUUACUGGGCGUAAAGCGCGUGCAGGCGGUUUCUUAAGUCGGACGUGAAAGCUCCUGGCUCAACUGGGAGAGGUCGUUCGAAACUAGGGAACUUGAGGAUGGUAGAGGAGAGUGGAAUUCCCGGUGUAGUGGUGAAAUGCGUAGAUAUCGGGAGGAACACCAGUGGCGAAGGCGGCUCUCUGGGCUAUUCCUGACGCUAAGACGCGAAAGCUAGGGGAGAGAACGGGAUUAGAAACCCCGGUAUUCCUAGCCGUAAACGAUGUCAACUAGGUGUAGAGGGUAUCCAACCCCCCUGUGCUGUAGCUAACGCGUUAAGUUGACCGCCUGGGG